AAAAUGCUUUGCCAGCGAGCUCACUGUGCAUAUUUGCUGCUCCACGGAUGCGUCCCAGUUGGGCCAACUUCUGUUCUUGGCUGUUUGAAUAUAUCCUGGCAGCUCAGAGGUGUAAUUUCUCCAAAUGCCGCAUUCCUGCUGAGCCCAUGGGAUGAAUUGUGCAAUUUCGGAAAUCUCUCAUCAUUUGCAGAGACCUAUGUACCCUAUGCAUACUUCUGUCCUGGUUCUAACAUUGAAAAUAAUCUGCAGGAACCACAAGAGAUUGGAUGAGAAGCUGGGGGCAGAGUUCUAACAGCAGCCCAAGCCUCCACAGUGCCAAGAUGGGCCAUCUGCCUGUGAGAAGGGAAAGCUUCCACUUCUCUUAGCAAUGACUCUGGCUUAUUUCUAAUUUAGCAGAAAAAAAAAAAUGAUUCAAGCAAUAUCAUGUGCUUCUAUAUCUUCAAAGCAAUACCACACCAUCAAUUAGCAGCUCAGCGUACCAACAGUUCUAAACUUUUUGCGAGCUUCUUGGAAACAAGAUGUGGAGCUUCAGCAGAAGAAAAUUGGAGAAGAGAAGAUUGGCCUCAGACACUUCCGUCUUCAGACCUGUGCCUCUCCUUUGAGGAUCCCUUCCCCGAAGCUGCCAAGGAGAACCUUCCCUCACAUUGUUCCUCCUUUGUUCCCCGCUCUCCUUUUCCAGGCUGAGAGACCUGGGGCCUUGGAAGCAAGCACACGCUGGCUGAGCUGUGAUUCCUCCAUGUUGAUUAUAAUUUUUAUCACAUUAUAUGGGAUCCCUCUGGUGGUUACUAGGGGAUACGUCAGUUUUGAGAGAUUGGAACCUAACCAAAGAAGCUUCAAAUCUAGAGGAUAAGGGGACUCAGAGUUUACAAGUCACAGCAAGCAGAUGCUGGUCUGCUUUAGGUGCCUCUUACGGGGAUUGUGAGAGGGCUCCUGGGGCCUGAGGAGGGUCUUCUGAGGUGUGAAAGGCUGUACUGGUGGUCCCUGAAAGCCAUCGUCAUUUGUGUGAGGAGGAGUACUGGAGGAGCUGUCUUACCACAUGAAAAACAGCAUGGAGCAUCCCAGCCACAUCAAAGGCACGGUUUGAGCCUUGGGCUGUAGAGGCUCAGAGAGAGUGACAAAUAAGACCCUGGUGAGAGACCAAUGGGGACAGUAUUUCCAGACUUUGGCAUGAAACAGAUUUCUGAGCACCUCAUGAAAUGUCUGCAAGGGCAGCUCCUCAGAGUGACCCUCCCAAAUCAAUCAAAGCUGGCCCCCUAUCUUAAUUAUGACUUACAAAUAGAAGCAUGCACCUGGCUGGAUGCAGUUUGCCACAUGGUUUACAAUAGCGGUAGAAUAAGAAAUAACUUACCAAACGAGUACAUUUUCUUGGCUGGCUGGGGCACUCAGAGUUGACACUGGUAAGGCUCCAUUAAAAUGCCUUUAUGUUCUGAUAUACACAGAUGUGUUAAUUUAUAGCAUAUUCAUCAGAAGACAUAAAUUAAUUGCUCUCUGAUGAAUUUUAUAACACCUCCUUUAUGCCUCUCCACCCUCCCCCUCCAAAGUACACUGAAAAGGUCAACAGCACUAUCGAAUGCAGCACACUUCAACUUCCUUCCAAGCUUAUAAUUAAAGCUAAUUAGUAGCUUUGGUAAUUAGCGCAUGUAAGCUUUCUGCUUUCUGAAUUAAUAAGACUGAGUCAGGUUUUGAGCCAAGUAGACUUUUCACUCACUGGUUCUGAUUCUUGAACUGUGUUUGGCUGGUUAAUUUAAAACAUGUCUGUUGAAAGUGGAAUACUAGAAAGAAAACAUACUUGUGAUGGUCUGCUCUCAAGCCAGUGUGAUUUAUGAACAGGCCAAAGUGGAACUGUUGUCACAAGAGAAAAUCAGAAUGCUCUGGGUUUCCAAUAACUGACCAGUCUCAACCUCUCAGUGUGAAAUGAGUUGUGCCCAGUUACUAUGUCACAUGGACACAACACAACGUCAAGGAUGCCCUUGCACACUUAUGUCACCCUCUCAUAACACAUCUGUACUAAGCACAUCAAAUCCUCUUUAUUUUAGGAGAAUGCAGAGGCAAUGGCAGUGGGGUGCCAAGAUAUAACUAACUGCUCAUUUUGAUUCAAAUAAAAAUCAAAGAGGAGAAAAAUCAUUAGUCAAAUCAGCUUCUGCUUUUGUGUAGACAAAGUGAUUCUCCAAAUAGCUUCGUGUUUCUUUUUUUAGCCAGCAUGUGGGCAUCCUGCAUGCCCAGACAGAAUUAAAAGUGCAUGUUUUAAAAUCAAGAAAUCAAAUCUAUAUUCUAUUAAAAGAAAAAAUGUGAUUUGUUUUCAGACUUUAGAAACAGUUGGGAUAAAAAUUUCCACGGGUGAGCUCAUUUGCUUUUUCUUUUCCCAUACUAAUCUCAGAAAAUUUAUUUUUGUUUUUUAAAGAAAGAAAGGAAGGAAGAAAAAGAAAAUCACUUAGUGAUUUACUGGACUCCUUAUAAGUCCAGGACAAUGGUGGGGGUUGCUCACAGCGCUAGUAAUUUUGAUACAUAAAGAAAAGGAAACAGUCACUGCUGCAGAGAGAGGAAUAUAUAAGACAGCUCUGGGUCACUAGAGUAAAUGGUUUUCAUUUUAAUGGCGCACUUACUGCCACUGUGAUAGCCACAUUUGGAUCUGUAAGGGGCAGUUAAUACUAUUCAAGAGCAAGGCACAUUUGGUCUUGUGGAUGGCUGUGAUUGUGAAGGUGACAAGGGGUUAUGGAUUCCCACAGCCUCACAGGCCCAGCUGAAUAGGAAGCCUUGUGCCCCCUUGGCAGCUCAUCCUACCCCGUGGCAGCUCAUCCUACCUAGGUGGAUACACUCCAGUAAGAUCUAUACACAGUGGUUCUCAACUGGGGGAGAUUCUGCCCCCAGGGGAUACUUGGCAAUGUUUGGCACAGUUUUGAUUGUCAUAACUGGUGGGAGAGGGUAGAUGCUACUGGCAUCUAGUGAGCAGAGACUAGGAAUGUUGCCAAACGAUCAGCCAUGCACACGACAGUCACUCCUCAACAAAGAUGAUCUGGCCCCACAGGAUACUAGUGCCAAUGUCAUGGAACCCUGAUACAGAAGGUCUAAACAGGGUCUGAGGCCCUCCUUGUCUUUGAGGAAGAGUUAAAUGUUAGCUUUCCAGAUUGACUCUGGACUGAUCUUGGCCUUAUACAAGUCAGAAAGAAGUGAGUGAUAGCUCACCCACAGGGGCUAGAUCUGAGUCAGACUGGAAGAAGUCGGCACACUCAGGGUAACGGCAGCUGCCUAAAAGCCAAGCGCUGGGCAUUUUUAUGUUGCAGCUAAGGCCAGCAUGCUGCAUUAUGGAUGAGCUCAUGUGCCAUGGCAAACAGUUUAAGAACGAUGCUUAUAUUUAAUGAAUCCUAAAUGGUUUAUUACAGAGGGUCAAGUUUCUGCUUCCUGUGGGAAUUUGACAUUUAUGAAAAUGCACGCACAUUAAUUAUUCAGUGGAGACGUCCUUCCUAUGGAAAUUCACUUUCCUGUACACUCGACAGGACUACAUUCCCUGUCUGCAUGGGCUACUUUGUUGUUAAUCCUCUAAGCAUUAAUUAAAUAAAAUUUGCAACCGAGCCAGGAUGCAUCUACCCUCAAAUGUUAUGCAAAAGACAGUUAAAUGCUGUUUGAUUUUUCCUGCUAGUAGCCAAUCAUUACCCAUAGCUAUUUAUGUUCUUCCUUUUGUUCUUUAAAGCAUAAACCUGGUAUCUCUUCCCACUGAGAAGAAAACUACGCUCAGUAAUUAAAUUACACCACAUUAAACUUACUUAAGUUCACCAGCAGGGAAAAUUCCGUGCCCCUGGGUUUAACAGUAAGUCCUAAUCACGCUUGCAAGCCAUAUCUUUUCUGUGAGUUGUUAUAGUUUUCAUUCCUGGAAUUCCAUUAAAAAUGGUAAUGUCAUUACUCCUGUUACUGCUCAAAACCAACAGCAUAAUCCUGAAUUUUAAUUAGUAAUUACAAUUAAUCAUUAUUUCAUUAAUGAAAUGUUUAGUUGGUAAUUGUCUUUGAGCACCUUACUCCCUAGGCUUAUAAGCAUUUCAUAACAUCUAAUUUGUUGCCUGUUUCUGAUGAAGUGGCACUGUCAACCUUAUUUUAUGUUAACACUUUGAUGGGGCUCUGCAUCCCAGGCCUGCACCACCGGCUGCAUAUUUACACCUUGGAAAUGUGUGGCUUCUGGCUCUCGAUAAGGUUCGCCUGAGGACGUACCCUCGCAUUCUUUCCUGCCAGCUUAAGAAGGCGACUGUUUGUGCUCCCAGAGAGCACAGCAUGUGAAGAGAGAAAUAAUAAUUCCUGGAACGCUUACUUAAUAAUAAAUCUGGGAUCCAAAUUCAUGGAUUUUUGAGAGGGGAUAGAGCAAGGAUUUGGAGGUAGUCUUUGGAACAGGAAGGUUGAUUUUAAAAGAGCUUAAAGAAUUAAGAAUAAGCUGGGAGGGUUGUCAAGAAUUUAACACGAGGCAAGAUUUUUGUUGAUCCUUUUGCAAUAGCAAAGAUAUUCUUAUUUAUUAGGAUGGUUUUUUAGGGGUGAGGGGAAGCUUGUCUUCCCCACCAAAAGGUCAGGGACCCAAGUAUGCCUUGCACACAGUUGUAUUCCUAGCUCCUGGUGCGGGGUUGGGCAUACACGUGACUCAAUAAACAGCUAGAUAAGUCAUUGUUCCUGCAUGGCCUAUGGUUAGGCUAUGAAGGGGGUAACUGAGGUACAAGAGUUAAUGGUGGUUUGGUGAUGGUAGCAGGGUGUGGGAUGCUAGGAGAUGCCAAAUCAGUGGGCUGGUGUGCUCACAAAUGACCUGAUGUCAUAGUUGUCUGUCACUGACAAUUCUAAAAGGACGGAUUCAUCCGACUGCCCUCUAUGUAAAAAAAUUUACACAUACACACACACACACACACACACACACACACCCGACGGUGAAUUAUUCAGGGAGGAGAAAGCCUGCUAUCCUUGGCAAAUUAAACAAGGAGGAUUUGAGCAAAGAAAAGAUGUGCUGCUGUUAUUUCAAGGAAGUAUUCACAGCUUCAGAAUUAAAACUGAGAUGGAACAACAUCAGACUUGUUGGAAAAUGCUCCGCGUCUGUGGUGUAUUUCAGACAAGUUAGUCAGAAAAUUCAAAAUAUCUGGAAGAAAUAAAUGACGGCCAACAGUUUGGUGUUGGCCACCAGGUGCCAGAGCACGUAUGGUCUUGGCCUAAGGUGAGUGAAAGACAGGUUUCUGGGUCAAGACAGGUGUUUCCAAAUGGCAAUUUUUGAGGCUGCUGACAUUUUACAAAAUAAAAGAAUGUGAUAAAGCUUAAGUUUUUGGUUGUAUUUUAUAAAUGUCUAUAUUUAAGAAGUUCAUGCUUUAGCACACAUAAGACAUUCAACAAGUCAUUUGGAAAUAACAUCAAAUGUCGAAAUUUGAGACCCU
rnacentral:lncRNA from 10 species